rnacentral:rRNA from 1 species
UACAGAGGGUGCGAGCGUUAAUCAGAAUUACUGGGCGUAAAGCGCGCGUAGGCGGCUAGAUAAGUCGGAUGUGAAAGCCCCGGGCUCAACCUGGGAACUGCAUUCGAUACUGUUUGGCUAGAGUAUGAGAGAGGGAGGUAGAAUUCCACGUGUAGCGGUGAAAUGCGUAGAUAUGUGGAGGAAUACCGGUGGCGAAGGCGGCCUCCUGGCUUAAUACUGACGCUGAGGUGCGGAAGCGUGGGGAGCAAACAGG